GUAACGCCUGCCCUGUGGAGAACCUAAACGGCCGCGGUAAAACCCGUGCAAAGGUAGCACAAUCACUUGUCCUCUAAAUAAGGACCCGUAUGAAAGGCAACAUGAGAGGGGACCUGUCUCUUAAGGCAAGCCAAUGAAAUUGAACUGCCAGUACAAAAGCUGGCAUUUCCUAGCAAGACAAAAAGACCCCAUGGAACUUUUAAUACCACACUAAUAAACCUUAGUACAAGUUUUGGUUGGGACAACCCUAGGAAAACCUAACUCCUAGAUACUACAAGACCAACACGUCUAAAAACUUCUUGAGCCAGUAAAACUGAUUAAUGAAAUGAGCUACCCUGGGGAUAACAGCGCCACCUUCUCAAAAAGUUCUUAUUAACAAGAAGACCUACGACCUCGAUGUUGGAUCAGGAUACCCAGACGGUGCAACAGCUGUCAAUGGUUCGUUUGUUCAACGACUAACAUCCU
rnacentral:rRNA from 1 species